CCAGUUCGGAUCGCAGGCUGCAACCCGCCUGCGUGAAGUUGGAAUCGCUAGUAAUCGCGGAUCAGCAUGCCGCGGUGAAUACGUUCCCGGGCCUUGUACACACCGCCCGUCACACCAUGAGAGUCGGAACACCCGAAGUCCGUAGCCUAACCGCAAGGGGGGCGCGGCCGAAGGUGGGUUCGAUAAUUGGGGUGAAGUCGUAACAAGGUACC
rnacentral:rRNA from 1 species